UACAGAGGGUGCGAGCGUUAAUCGGAAUUACUGGGCGUAAAGCGCACGUAGUCGGCUUUGCAAGUCGGGUGUGAAAUCCCCGGGCUCAACCUGGGAAUGGCAUUUGGGACUGCAAGGCUUGAGUGCGGCAGAGGAGACUGGAAUUCCUGGUGUAGCAGUGAAAUGCGUAGAUAUCAGGAGGAAUACCGAUGGCGAAGGCAGGUCUCUGGGCUGACACUGACGCUCAUGCACGAAAGCGUGGGGAGCAAACAGG
rnacentral:rRNA from 1 species